rnacentral:rRNA from 1 species
GACGAACGCUGGCGGCGUGCCUAAUACAUGCAAGUCGAACGCUGAAGCUUGGUGCUUGCACCGAGCGGAUGAGUUGCGAACGGGUGAGUAACGCGUAGGUAACCUGCCUGGUAGCGGGGGAUAACUAUUGGAAACGAUAGCUAAUACCGCAUAAUAGUAGAUGUUGCAUGACAUUUGCUUAAAAGGUGCAAUUGCAUCACUACCAGAUGGACCUGCGUUGUAUUAGCUAGUUGGUGAGGUAACGGCUCACCAAGGCAACGAUACAUAGCCGACCUGAGAGGGUGAUCGGCCACACUGGGACUGAGACACGGCCCAGACUCCUACGGGAGGCAGCAGUAGGGAAUCUUCGGCAAUGGACGGAAGUCUGACCGAGCAACGCCGCGUGAGUGAAGAAGGUUUUCGGAUCGUAAAGCUCUGUUGUAAGAGAAGAACGAGUGUGAGAGUGGAAAGUUCACACUGUGACGGUAGCUUAACAGAAAGGGACGGCUAACUACGUG